rnacentral:rRNA from 1 species
AAGGAAUAUUGGACAAUGGUGGCAACACUGAUCCAGCCAUGCCGCGUGCAGGAUGACGGCCCUAUGGGUUGUAAACUGCUUUUGUACGGGAAAAAACCCUCGUUCGUGAACGAGGCUGAUGGUACCGUAAGAAUGAGGAUCGGCUAACUCCGUGCCAGCAGCCGCGGUAAUACGGAGGAUCCAAGCGUUAUCCGGAUUUAUUGGGUUUAAAGGGUGCGUAGGCGGAUUAAUAAGUCAGUGGUGAAAGCCUACAGCUUAACUGUAGAAUUGCCAUUGAUACUGUUAGUCUUGAGUAUAUUUGAAGUGGGCGGAAUGUGCAGUGUAGCGGUGAAAUGCUUAGAUAUUGCACAGAACACCGAUUGCGAAGGCAGCUCACUAAACUAUAACUGACGCUGAGGCACGAAAGUAUGGGGAUCAAAC